rnacentral:rRNA from 1 species
AGAAAGGGCGCACGGUGGAUGCCUUGGCACUAGGAGCCGAAGAAGGACGGGACUAACACCGAUAUGCUUUGGGGAGCUGUACGUAAGCGUUGAUCCAGAGAUUUCCGAAUGGGGGAACCCACUAUCUUUAGUCGGAUAGUAUCCUUACGUGAAUACAUAGCGUAAGGAAGGCAGACCCAGGGAACUGAAACAUCUAAGUACCUGGAGGAAGAGAAAGAAAAAUCGAUUUCCUGAGUAGCGGCGAGCGAAACGGAAAGAGCCCAAACCAAGAAGCUUGCUUCUUGGGGUUGUAGGACACUCUAUACGGAGUUACAAAAGAAAGUUAUAAAUGAAGCGGUCUGGAAAGGCCCGCCAAAGACGGUAACAGCCCGGUAGUUGAAAUGGCUUUCCCUCCAGAGUGGAUCCUGAGUACGGCGGAACACGUGAAAUUCCGUCGGAAUCCGGGAGGACCAUCUCCCAAGGCUAAAUACUCCCUAGUGACCGAUAGUGAACCAGUACCGUGAGGGAAAGGUGAAAAGCACCCCGGAAGGGGAGUGAAACAGUUCCUGAAACCGUGUGCCUACAAGUAGUUAGAGCCCGUUAAUGGGUGAUAGCGUGCCUUUUGUAGAAUGAACCGGCGAGUUACGAUUUGUUGCAAGGUUAAGCGGAAAAAGCGGAGCCGUAGCGAAAGCGAGUCUGAAUAGGGCGAAUAAGUAACAGGUCGUAGACCCGAAACCAGGUGAUCUACCCAUGUCCAGGAUGAAGGUAAGGUAAUACUUACUGGAGGUCCGAACCCACGCACGUUGAAAAGUGCGGGGAUGAGGUGUGGGUAGCGGAGAAAUUCCAAUCGAACUUGGAGAUAGCUGGUUCUCUCCGAAAUAGCUUUAGGGCUAGCCUCGAGGUAAAGAGUCAUGGAGGUAGAGCACUGUUUGGACUAGGGGCCCUUCUCGGGUUACCGAAUUCAGAUAAACUCCGAAUGCCAUGUACUUAUACUCGGGAGUCAGACUGCGAGUGAUAAGAUCCGUAGUCGAAAGGGAAACAGCCCAGACCACCAGUUAAGGUCCCCAAAUAUAUGUUAAGUGGAAAAGGAUGUGGGGUUGCUUAGACAACCAGGAUGUUGGCUUAGAAGCAGCCACCAUUGAAAGAGUGCGUAAUAGCUCACUGGUCGAGUGACCCCGCGCCGAAAAUGUACCGGGGCUAAACAUAUUA